CCUCCAUUUCUUGGCAUUCACGUGGUCGUUCAGUACUCGUGUGUGGUAUGUACGGAGGAAGAAGAAAUGCAGUGCUAUGUCUUCGGUACCGGUGUGUUACUUGUCUGCCGGUUCUAUCCUCAAUCGCUGUUACAUUC